AUACAUGAGCAAAAUCUCAACUGUUUCAGAAGAGAUGCAUUUAUUAGAUAAAAAACCAAUGCAUGCUUUUACGGCAUGGAAAUUGGUGAUUUACAAUAACUUAGCAAAUCGCAUGUAUAGUGAAAACUGGCGAUAAAUCAUUCAAGUUUCUGACCUAUCAGCUUUCGACGGUAUGGUAUUGGCUUACCGUGGCAGUGACGGUUAACGGGGGAUUAGGGUUCGAUUCCGGAGAGGGAGCCUGAGAAACGGCUACCACAUCUAAGGAAGGCAGCAGGCGCGCAAAUUACCCAAUUCUAACAGCAUAAGAGAGGUAGUGACAAGAAAUAACAAUACAAGGCAAUUAAAAUGCUUUGUAAUUGGAAUGAUAGAAAUUUAAACACUUUUUAAAGUAUCAAUUGGAGGGCAAGUCUGGUGCCAGCAGCCGCGGUAAUUCCAGCUCCAAUAGCGUAUAUUAAAAUUGUUGCAGUUAAAAAGCUCGUAGUUGAAUUUCUGCUAAAAAUAACCGGUCUGCUUUUUUAUGAAAGUGGUAUCUUGGUGUGUUUUUAGCAAUAAUGUCCUUUGAAAUGGUUUUUACUUUAUUGUAAAAAGCAAUAUUCAGGAUUUUUACUUUGAGAAAAUUAGAGUGUUUCAAGCAGGCUUACGUUUUGAAUACUGCAGCAUGGAAUAAUAAGA
rnacentral:rRNA from 1 species